GACGAACGCUGGCGGCGUGCUUAACACAUGCAAGUCGAGCGCCCCGCAAGGGGAGCGGCAGACGGGUGAGUAACGCGUGGGAACAUACCCUUUCCUGCGGAAUAGCUCCGGGAAACUGGAAUUAAUACCGCAUACGCCCUACGGGGGAAAGAUUUAUCGGGGAAGGAUUGGCCCGCGUUGGAUUAGCUAGUUGGUGGGGUAAAGGCCUACCAAGGCGACGAUCCAUAGCUGGUCUGAGAGGAUGAUCAGCCACAUUGGGACUGAGACACGGCCCAAACUCCUACGGGAGGCAGCAGUGGGGAAUAUUGGACAAUGGGCGCAAGCCUGAUCCAGCCAUGCCGCGUGAGUGAUGAAGGCCUUAGGGUUGCAAAGCUCUUUCACCGGAGAAGAUAAUGACGGUAUCCGGAGAAGAAGCCCCGGCUAACUUCGUGCCAGCCGCCGCUGUAAAAC
rnacentral:rRNA from 1 species